AAUGGAGCAAAUGAGAACAUGUACCAACGGGCGCAGCCUACUCCGGACCCAACACACUGAAGACUCUGUCUAAAGCAGCCUUGCCGGCCCCUUCCUGGCUUCUCUCAGGACAGGAAUGUUUCUGGUGAGAACACCUUUGGUCGUUCAUGGAGCUUCCAUUCACCAACCUGGAGGUGGCAUUCAUUUUACUGGCUUUCUUCAUCUUUUCCCUGUUUACUCUGGCUUCCAUCUACACCAGCCCUAAUGAAAGGACCGAAGAAGAUGACCACCACCUAAAGGAAAGGAGAAAGAAAAGAAAGGAGUUUAAAAAGAAGAAAAAUUGCUCAGAACACAGAAUUGAAACAAUGUAGCGGUGAGCUCAAGGCCACCCGAGAAAACACACAGAGGUGCCCCUAAGGAUGCA